GCGUCGCUGGCUAGUUACAGGGCAUUACUUAUCCGGUGUGAUUGGCUCGUCGCGUCACGCCGUCACGGUCUGUCGCCACAUAGCUACGGACGGUACUAUACUGCUGAAUUAAUGUUUAAAAAAAUAGGCAGUGUGAAAGGGUGUGAACGCUUGUGAACGGAAUCUUGGGAUGGGACCGAUGUCCUGUUGUUUGUGUCCUGUGGAUAUGGUUUUAUUAUGCGUACACGACUGACUUGCUAGGCGGUGCACUCGUAUGGAUGGAGUACUGCUCCUUUGUUUCGUUGUAACUAGCCUCCUAGGUGCAGUGAGCAUAUUAUCAUAAACAUCCCUCACGAUAGCGAACUUGAAGAAGAAGCUGUUUCGACAUCUACUUUAUCCCAAGUGCAAUAAUGCACCAUUCUGGGGCUGACGCCUCAAUAAAGCUCCCUAAAUUAACCCCAUGGUAACUAUAAUCAGUGAGCGUUCGCUAGGAAGGAUGACAAGUGCGAACAUCUUGAUGCAACUUUAGUUGUCACGAGGAUGGGCAAGGAUGACAAUUUUAGCUUGUAAGCAUGAUAAUUUCCUCGGAAAAAAUAAAACUGCAGCAAAGCUGCGACGCUCGCUAACUAAAACUGCCUUGAAAGUCGUUCGCGAUGUCAUCCCUUACUAUUACUAUUGGGUAAAACAAUAUCCUACUCCAGUUUCACGUCUCUCUUGUCUUGCCCGUGAUGUUUGUCUGUGUCCUCCAUGUUGCAAUCAAUCCCGUUUUAUUAAUUCGCUGGAAUCAAUGGAGCCAGCGAGCUAGGUCGCUGUCAGCUUCAUCUUCCCGUGCAUCCUUUGCCUGCUGAGAAAGGUUCCGUUGCGCUGUUUAUUUGUUCCCCUUGUUUCAUUGUCUGUACGCUGAGACUGGCUGUUUAGAAACUGUGCUCAGAGGUAUCUUAAUCGUCCUCGGCGCUGGCUCGUCUGACGGUAUUAGGUGGAAACUCGCGACUGUCGACGCCGGCGACACGAGUCCCUGGGUGCUAAUCAUGCCAGCAGGUGGAGUGGUUGUGGACUCUCCGGUGUUCACCCGAUGAGGCGAGCCAAAGUAACAGUAGAUCAUUUUCUUGGCGGAAAAUGGUACGGAGUAGAUCUUUUAAGAGAACUGCAGAUUCCAUCGCUCUAAUACGAUAGUACAGUCCAUGUGCAUAGGUCUGUCCUGAACUCGUCGUUCAUUUGAACAUGCUUUGCGCAUACCCCUUUCAUUUCAAAAUAUAUCGUGUUUUUUGACACAAUAAUAGUGUAAAAAAAGUCUUAUAUUUUGACACGCAUGGAGUAUUUCGGUAUUCACGCCCCCGUGGUGCCAGGAGGGUUAGAACAUCUUUAACCGAUCCCCUAUAAAGUUUUAGAAGACCGGAUUUUCUUCUUUAAACCGCACCUAGUCGAACUCGUAGGCGUGCCUCCACGGCGCAAAAGCGCGACUGAACUUCCCCUUCGGCACCCCCGCUUUCCCAAGUAAACAACGUUGCAUGGCUUUUUUGGAAGAAUAAGCAGUCAACUGUGAAAGUUGUUGGAGAGCUCCUCGAAAUUCACGAAGCCUUGACAGCCUGACAUCUUCCACGACAAUGACUAGAUCUUUUGACUCACAACUCCAAAUAAUGUGAGGUUUUUUUGUGUUGGAAAUUAAAUUUGAUGUAGCUUCUGGUAUACCCUGCGGCCCUGUCUCUCCAAAUGGGUGUGACACAACAAAACACCAGAGAUAAAAACUGACAGCAUCAACUUCACUUGAAACUUGUUUUGAUAAACUUGUUUCUUCAUCGGAUAAGAUAUUAUUCACUUCCUUAGAUAUUGCACCUAAAUUUGGCCAACAACAAAGAGAUGAAAGUGCAGCCAUGUGUUUAAGAUUAUAGUAUGAGCUUAAGUCAGCGUUCACCUGGUCAUGUAUUUGUUUCGUGCAAGUUAUUAUGAUUUAUCCUUUGAUGUCCGGGGCUACAUCAAUGGUUGUCAUGUCCUCGUCAUGCUCCCCUCUUGAAAUGGGGUUGUCCUUGACUCUAGCUGGUCACAAAACACAAUAAGCCAGUACAAAGAAGCAACACAAAAACUAUAUGGAAUGCAUAAGUUUAGCUUCACCGUUGCCAACUUCUUCAAAUUUUUAUGAAUGUCAACAUGAUGUUUUGUUCAACUCAACAAUUCUUUCCUACUAAUAAUUCUAUGGAGUACAAACUUGUAACAAACCAUGACCAUGUCCAUGUCGACACCACAAACGGACGGUGUUCAUUUGGCGUCCGAGCAUGUUGUGGCCCAGUUCUCCACAUCGUCGGACGGUAGCGUGAUUGCGCCGGCCACCCCACCCACACGGUCGUCAUCGACCUCAAUGUCACGCCUGGGUCCGGUGGCGCCGGCCAGUCAGCCACCCGGAUGCAAAGGAAGCAGCCGUGGGCGAUUCUGAUGGCCAACUUCCCCGACGCCCGCAACCUGUUUGAUGAAACACCCUACCCGACGCUGGCGCAAGACGACCCCGACCUCAAUGCUUUCAUGGAGAACGCCAACUACGAGGGCCAUGGUCAAGCCUUCCAUCCCGAGUGCCAAGGCCAAAUCUUCGAUCCUGACGAGACCCAAAGCCAAGAUGGUCGCGACAUUGGCCAUGGCAACCAAGAAGAAGAGGUUUAUCGAUGAGCUCAUCCAAAGAGCCAAUGCACAAAAGAAGAAGCAAACCAUUCGCACGGGACCAUGCACCAAAGAUAAGGACAAGUUGAUUUGCGAGAGUUGGAAGUAAAUAGGGCAAGAUCCCAAGACCAACGUCGAGCAAAAAGGUGCCAUUUUUUGUGAGAGUUCAUACGAUCUUCCUUGAACGUAGAAAGUUUCCGCCCUACAAAUUUGCGAGCACCCGUGACAUCAACUCAAUUCAAAAGAGGUGGAGGUAUAUCCAACAAGAAUGUAACAAGUUUUGUGUCGCUCUUGAGAGCGUUGAAGCUCGUCUCGUGAGUGGCCUAGGCAUGGGCGAUGAUGAUGACAUGUACCUAGGGUAGGGUCUUAGACCUGAUCUACAUGCCCUUCCCAAGGACACCAAGAGGCCAAGGCCUACGAGGACAGAAAGAAGAUACCGACUGGAAUCAUCACAGAGUGCAACUCACUCGACAGAAGAUCCACUCGGACACCCCAAUUCCACUCGACCGUCAUUAUUCACUUGGAGUACAAGAAUCCACUCGAAGGAUAGAACGCCCAAUAUCACCUGUAGAUAGCAAUGGUCGGUCAUUCACUCCGCCACCAUAAAGGUCAUUAAACAUGGGCGUUACUAGUAACGUAUGUGGCUUUCCUCCCUCAUUGAACCCUUGCGUAACCGAGGGCUAUGAGGGGUCGACGCACUCUAUAUAAGCCACCCUCCCCUCUAGAACAAAGGUUUGCACCCCCUGUAACUCUACGCCCAAUCAACAAGCCUCUGAGGCACCGAGACGUAGUGCUAUUACCUCCUCCGAGAGGGGCCUGAACUCGUAAAACCGAGUGUACAACCUCGUCGUAGCUAGGACUCUGCCUUCUCCUAUGUACCUCAUAUCUCUACUGUUAGAUCUAUUCCGACGACAGUUGGCACCCAUCUUGGGGGCAGGCGUCUAAGCGACUUCCAAUGAGUUUGCAAUCUUUGAUCUUCGUUAACAUGGUUUUCGGUGGUGGAUUGUCCUUGAGCCGCGAGAUCCAUCUCAACACGCUCACUUUCAUCACCGACGAUUCGGCCUGGCUUCAAGAAGCCCCUCUCAACGUCGAGGCACUCCCCAUUUGCGGGGCGGCACACUUCCACGCGGGUGCCUGUGGCGUCCUCCUGCGGCAGCCGUCGACUCAGUAUCAGUCAGCUCCCAUGGCGUCUUUGCUUCCCGCUGCCCGUCGCCACAAGCGAUCCGGUUGCUCGCGGCUCCAGCGGUGGGUGAAGCACGUGGUGGCGCGUCAGUCGGCCACUCCUCAAAUCGCAGCAAUCAAUCUUGAUGAAUCUCUCUAUGGGUUGUUCGAUCUGUCGACUGGCCAUUCGGAUACUCUCACUGAGUGCGAAAGCAAUGACCCCCUGACGGAAGUCCUCAUGGUUGGUCCCCAGCUUAGCCCGCCAGGAUUUCCCCGUCGCGUGACAAGACGAGUAUUAUCCUGAAUCCUCACUACGGAGCAGAGGGAAGAGUUGCAGCGCAGAAAUGAUCAAGCUCUCCAGAACCCUAUCGCUGGGGAGACCCCCGAGGCUCGGGCCUUGGAGGUUUCUUGUGUUGCCACUCUGGUUGAGCGUGCAUGCUUGGAGAAUCUUCAGGAAGCAUUCGACGACUGCGCCCGCAGAUGUCACACCCUAGCUAGUUCAUGCAUUAGAGUGUUGCAUCAUGUCUACCCUUUCAUCAGAAACUUGAAAUGGGGAUGUCAGAACCCCCAGCCCCCUCUGAAACCAACUAGGGUUUACUAAAAACUUUUUCAAUGAACCUGAAAUGCCCUUCUAAAAUGUCCAUCAUUUUUGUCUUGGUUCAGAACCUCUGCCAAAAGUGUUGCACAAUUUUCUAGGUCAUCUUAGGGUCUUUGAAUUAAUGAUAAGUAUUUGAAUUUGGGCAUUUAAAAUUAUAUAAAAUAUUUCAAAUGCUCAAAUAUUCCUAAACUGAAAUGUUUCAUGUUGGAAAUAUUCCAACUUUGGACCAGGAGCAGUUUGGUGAUUUUAGGAGUUGCCUAGGUAUUUUUAAUAAUUCAACAAAGUUGCAGAAAAAUAGAAAAAGAAAAAAAACAGAAAGGAAGGACUUACCUGGCGCGUGCAACCCGGCCCACCUGCCGGCCCAGCCCAGCGCCGCGCUAGCGAGCUACUUGCCGGCCAGGCAGGCAGGCAAGGUGCUCGACGGCGAGCACCGCAUGGGUGCCACGCACCUGCUCGCCGCCUCGCCGCUCCACUCACCGGCUAAUGACGUGGAUCGACCCCUCUCUCUCCCCCGAACCCCCCAGACGCCCCCUCUCCUCUCCAGCUCCUCCCCUUCGCGCUCCCCAGCCAUGGCCGACGCCACCGCCGCCGCUCCAUCGUCGUAGCCGCGCUCCCCGCCGCCCGUGCUCCAUCUCGUGGUGUCCAGGAGCUCCGUCGCCGUCCACUUCGUCGAGCUAACCGAGCCCCGCAUGCUCGUGAGGCCCGAGUCCACCGCACCGACCUCGCCCGAGUUCGCCGUCGCCGGAGAUCCCCUUCAACGCCGUCGCUGCAUCAGCUCAUCCCCGACCCCGCCGGUGGCCUCUACGGGUGCUCUGUGAGCCUAGCUACCCCUCCUACCCUUCCUCUCUCGCCCCCGAGCCGUGUGGCCACCGCACGAAGAUCACCGCCGCGGAUCUCGUCGCCGACGUGCUCCCGGCCAUCCUCCGGCCACCUCACGGUGUCCAACGCACUCACCACGCUGUGUUGAGUCCAACCGUGCACUCCCCGCACCUCAUCGCACACCCUAGCCCCAAGUUCGCCUUCACCCGAACUCCGGUGACCGCCUAGGUCGUCGCCGGCGCCAACUUCAGCCACCCCGACCUCAACUCGCUCCACCAAGAGCUGCGGUUCGUCCCCAACUCCAUGUAGAUGCCUUCCGCGCCCCAUUUGGUGGCCGGAACGGCCAAAACCACUUCCGUCGCCGCGUCGGGCUCGCUGGCGGCUAAAUGCCGGUGCAGCCAUUUUGACUUUGACCACGGGUGGGCCCUAGUUGACUCUGUUGAGUCAAUGACAGGUGGGGCCCCCUUCUGCUGAUUAUCCAGAUUAGUUUAAACUAAUUUAAUAUAGUUAAUUAUCCACUAACACCCUGGACCCACGCGUCAGGUUUGACCUGGACCGGGUCUGUUGACUUGCUGAGGUCAGCAUGACCUCAUGCUGACGCAGUAAACCUUUUCUAAAAUUAAAAUAAAUCUAAAAUGAUUUAUAAAUUCCAGAAAUUGUUGCAAACUUCAAAAAUUCAUAUAAAUUCAACCGUAGCUCCAAAUCAAACAAAUUAUAUAUGAAAAAUGAUCAGAAAAAUCCAAUAUAUCCAUCUAUACUAGUUUCAUGCAUGUUUAAACAAUCUAACUUGAGGUUUAGUGCAGAACAAGAUAAAACACUUUAAAGGGCCAUUUAUGAGUUUGAAAUUUGAAUCUUUGGUUCAAAUUGAUUCAAACCCAUCUGGGUUUAGUUGCAUUAGCCCAACACACUCAUAUUGCCAUGUUUCAUGCAUGCAUCAUAUUGUCGCACAUUGUUUGGUGAUGGUUGUGUAUCGGUGUUCUUUGCGGCAGGUUCUGCCUCCGAGGAGUACCGUGAUUACCCUAGCGAAGAACCGUAUCCGUGCAUCGAUCCAUCAGGCAAGCAACCAACCAUUUGAUCAUAUUGAUACAAUCCCAUGUUCUCGCUCUUGCUCUCUUUUACUGCAUUAAGACAACGCGUUUCAAACUGCUGUGUGCUACGGUAGUUGAACCCAUUUCCUUUGCAUGACCUGUCAUUGCCACAGUAAAUAGACGAAACCCACUAGCAUGUGUAGGAAUUGAUUGAGCCAUAUGUAUGUGUUGUUCCUACCUUGCUAUGCCUGCUAUGCUUAGAGUCGUGUCAGGUCUGGUUCAUCUGGGUGAUGGGCUAGAGUGAAAUGAUCAUGUCGGUAAUGAGAGUGAUGUGGUGAACACGAUUUGGUAAAGGUAUCGAUAAGAGGCCAUGUAGGAGUACAUGGUGGGUUGUUUCAUUGAAGCCGACCUUAAGAACUGAGAUCUGUAUGCGUGAUUUAAGAUUCAGCUACUACCAUGCAUUGGGCCCUGAAAUAUGACCCCACUCGACUUCUUAUUCACCCUAGUCCUCUGUCCAGGAGUUGCAAGUAGUUUCUGGUGUUUGUAGCUUACUGGAGGCCGUGGACAGCGCUGACCCGCGGGGUGGGCUGUGAUGCGGUAGGUACGUGGCACGGUGUAUCGAAUACCCGUUAGGUAUCUCGGGAACCCUGUACACAUCGUUCGGGGCCGUAUGGGAAACCUCGGCCGGACUCCCUGCGGAUGGAACCUGGAUAGGCAAUAAACAUGGACUAGAGACUUAGGUGUUUAGGUAGGUCGUGGUCUACACCCACGUCGGCUUUCGCUUGAAGUCUGCCGAGCACAUGUCGUGUGCAGACGCUAAGUGGUGGAAACAUGUAUGAAGAAGUACCCCCUGCAGGGUUAACAUGAUCUAUUCGAAUAGCCACGUCCGCGGUAAAGGACUACUUGGUUGCUUAUACAGUUCAUAGACAAGUGAAUGGAUACUACUAAAAAUCUCAAGAUAAGCGUGAGUGCCGAGGAUGGCUCUAGGAUGACGGAGGUGGAUCCUCGGUGGUGUAUUGAAGUGGUGAGUAGUGGACUCGUGUGCGCAAAACCAUUUCAAGUUGGAGUCUCGUAGGAUAGCUUAGCCAAGAGUCAAAGCUGGCUUGCUGCAAUAACUCCACCAACCCUUCUUGAUAAUGUGCAUGUAUGUAGGAUCUGACGUAAGUCUUGCUGGGUACCUUUGUACUCAUGUUGCUAUAAUUUACAUUUUACAGAAGACGCUGCAACCCCUUCUGAUGGGUUCUUCGUAGACGUUGACAUCGACGAGUAGACUAAGGCCCAGGUGGUAAUCCUGAGCUUGUGAAGGUCCACGUAGCAUAGCUAGGCUUUCCAAGCCUCUUUUAUUACUAGUUGUCUGUACUCAGACAAGUUACUUCCGCUGCUGGUUUGUAUGACUGUAUGACUUGAAUGUGGGUCGUGUGACCCGCACUUGUAUGUAUGUUAUGUAUGGCUCUCUGAGCCUUUAAAUAAAGUACUUGUGUCGUAGAGUCAUGUUGUGAUGCCUUGUUGUAUUUGCACAUAUCGAGCAUAUUGUGUGUAUGAUUGAAAUGCUUGGUAUGUGUGGGAUCUGACUAUCUAGUUGUUUAUCUUUAGUAGCCUCUCUUACCGGGAAAUGUCUCCUAGUGUUUUCAUUGAGCCAUGGUAGCUUGCUACUGCUCCGGAACACUUAGGCUGGCCGGCAUGUGUCCUUCUUCGUUCCUAUGUCUGUCCCUUCGGGGAAAUGUCACGCAUUGAGUACCGGAGCCCUGUUAGCCCGCUACAGCCCGGUUUACCGGAGUCCUGCUAGCCCAGUGCUACAGCCCGGACCCACUUGCUGAUGACCGACACGUUCGAUGCUGGGUCAUGGAUGCCUGUCCCUGUAAGUCUGUGCCACUUUGGGUUUACGACUAGUCAUGUCAGCCCGGGCUCCUUAUCAUAUGGAUGCUAGCGACAUCAUCAUAUACGUGAGCCAAAAGGCGCAAACGGUCCCGGGCAAAGGUAAGGCGACACCCGUGGGAAUACCGUGCGUGAGGCCGCAAAGUGAUAUGAGGUGUUACAGGCUAGAUCUAUGUGACAUUGAGUCGGGGUCCUGACAGCAGACAUAUCCCAAGUUCCAGUUAAUGGCAGCGGCAAUUGUUUAUGACUGGACCUCAGGAUGAAUGUCAGGUAUACCGUACCCCAAUUCAAAAUAUUGCAGCAGCUGUGCGUAUUGCAGAUUUGAUCCAGCCGUCCCGUUCCAAGGAUGGUAGAGGCUUACAGCAGAUUCGGGCACUGCUCAGGGUGGCCGAGGAACAAAACUCAGUUGUUUUCCAGUCACGUAAUAGGAUUCACAGCAGGUCUGUCAUGGCAGACAUAGUUCAGCGGGCACACAGCCCAAGAUCGCCCCUGCGGCAUGAAGAUCAUGGUUAUCGCCAGGAUCAGUACCUGGGUCGAGGCCAAGGGAAGUUUGACCCUCGAUACCACCGUGAAGACCACUGUCGAGUUCCUACGCCCCCUCGUAUGUGCCCCGGCGGUAUGAUGACAGGCGCCCGUACAGCGACAAGCGGAGGAUCCCUGUCGACCCUCGAGAGCCCGAGUUUGAUGCAAAGUCAGUCCUUGUGCAUGGUCUGGUUGACAGAGGCAGAGCUAACAGAGAAGGUUUGGACAAAGAUUACCCAAGUGGGAGCAGAGCGUUCGUCUCUGGGCCCAAGUGUUUCGGCAGAUGCUUGAAGGUUGAAAGUACAAGUGCUUCCUGGGUGAUUUUGGUAAUUACUGUCAACAUAUCUCUUGUUGGACUAAUACUUCUAUCUAGUAUGUUUUAGAUGAGUUCAACAGUGGAGUGGCAGGGCAAGAGGAUGUGGAACUCCUUCAUGAUGUUAAGGAUACAUAUUGGCAAAAGCUCAAGGCUCUUCAUUUUCUAUUUUAGUGAUCCAAGAUCACAUCGAGUCCAUAGGAAAGCCAAUACUAUUAAAAGGGGAUGAGGUGUUGCUUAAUGGCUUCCUUGCUCAAAGUUCUUAGUGAUAUGCUCCAAAGUCCUCAACCACUUUUUCAUUUCCACAUAUGUUCAAAACCUAAAGUCAAACUCGGCCCCACUGAUUUGAUCUAUCUAGCGCCACCGAGUUCUUUGACAUAGCCACUGCCAGAAACCCUAAUCAGUUCGGUCUUACAGAUGGGACCUCGGUCUCACCGAGAUGGCCCUGCAAACUCUCUGUUACCUAUUCUGGUUAUUUUGGUCUCACCGAUAUGCAGUCGGUCCCAUCGAGUUUACUUGACCAAGUCUCUAUUUGCUUAUUGCUGAAAUCGGUCUCACCGAGAUGAGGUUUUGCCCUAACCCUAGCACAUCGAUCUCGCCGAGUUGACCUUGUCGGUCCCACUGAAAACUCUAACGUUCACAUUUUGAACCAUAUCGGUCUGACCGAGUUUCACUAUUCAGUCCCACUGAGUUUGGUAAAUUGAGAUUUUCUAUGGAGGUUAUGUAUACCCCUCCACCCCUUUCUCCAUUAGAGAGAGAGAGAGAGAGCCAUCAGAACGUGCCUACACUUCCACUACUCAUUUUCUGAGAGAGAACCACCUACUCAUAUGUUGAGACCAAGACAUUCUAAUCCAACCACAAGAAUCUUGAUCUCUAGCCUUCCCCAAGUUGCUUUCCACUCAAAUCAUCUUUCCACCAUAUCCAAAUCUGUGUGAGAGAGAGUUGAGUGUUGGGGAGACUAUCAUUUGAAGCACAAGAGCAAGGAGUUCAUCAUCAACACACCAUCUAUUACCUUUUGGAGAGUGAAAGUGCAACUAGUCCUGGGUGGUUUUGGUAAUGAUUUACAACAUAUAGCUCAUUGAACUAAUGCCAUUUCAAGAUAAAUAUUUCAGGAAAGUUCAAUGAUUGGCAUGGCAUGGAUAAGGAAUGUGGACCCCUCAAAAUGCUAAGGACAAAAGAUUGACUCAAGCUCUAAAGUCCAAGACUCUACAUUUUCCAUUUUAGUGAUCCAAGAUCACAUUGAGUCUAUAGGAAAGCCAAUACUAUUAAAAGGGGAUGAGGUGUUUCUUAAUGGCUUGCUUGCUCAAAAUGCUUAGUGAUAUGCUCCAAAUCCCUCAACCACUUUCUCAUAUCCACAUAUGUCCCAAACCAAAAGUCAAACUCGGCCCCACCGAUUUGAUCCAUCCGGCGCCACCGAGUUCAUUUGACAUAGCCACUACUAGAAACCCUAGUCACUUCGGUCUCACCGAUAGGGAUCUCGGUCUCAUCGAGAUGGGAUUGCAAACUCUCUGUUUCCCUUCGUAACAUUUUGGUCUAACCGAGAUGAGCAAUCAGUCCCUCCGAGUCUGCAAUGCAAACUCCCUAUUUCCUUUUCGUAACGCUUCGGUCCCACCGAGACGAGCGAAUCGGUCCCACCGAGUUUGCCUGACCAACUCUCUGGUUAGCUUAUUACCAAAGUCGUUCCAACCGAGUUUGUGUAAUUGGUCCAACCGAGAUUACGUUAUGCCCUAACCCUAAUGAUAUCGGUCCCACCGAGUUGACAUGUCGGUCCCAGCAAAAUUGCCUAAUGGUCACAUUAUGUACUGAAUCGAUCAGACCGAGUUUUCUGAUUCGGUCCCACCGAGUUUGGUAUAUUGUGUGUAACGGUCAGAUUUUGUGUGGAGGCUAUAUAUGCCCCUCCACCCUCUCCUCAUUCAGGGGGAAGCCAUCAGAAUGUGCCUACACUUCCACUACCCAUUUUCUGAGAGAGAGCCACCUACUCAUGUGUUGAGACCAAGAUAUUCCAUUCCUACCAUAUGAAUCUUGAUCUCUAGCCUUCCCCAAGUUGCUUUCCACUCAAAUCAGCUUUCCACCAAAUCCAAUCCUAUAAGAAUGAGUUGAGUGUUGGGGAGACUAUCAUUUGAAGCACAACAGCAAGGAGUUCAUCAUCAACACACCAUCCAUUACCUUUUGGAGAGUGGUGUCUCCUAGAUUGGUUAGGUGUCACUUGGGAGCCUCCAACAAGAUUGUGGAGUUGAACCAAGGAGUUUGUAAGGGCAAGGAGAUCGCCUACUUCAUGAAGAUCUAUCCUAGUGAGGGAAGUCCUUCGUGGACGAUGGCCAUGGUGGGAUAGACUCGCGCAGCCAUUACCCUUCGUGGGUUGAAGUGUCCAUCAACGUGGAUGUACGAUAGCACCACCUAUCGGAACCACACCAAAAACAUCUGUGUCUCCUAUUGCGUUUGCAUUCUCCAAACCCUUCCCUUUACAUUCUUGCAAGUUGCAUGCUUUAGUUUCUGCUGCUUAUAUACUCUUUGCAUGCUUUCUUGAAUUGUGUUAAGAUUGCUUGACUUGUGCUAAGUUGUUAAAAUCUGCCAAGAACUAAAAUUGGGGAAAGGUUAAGUUUUUAUUUUGUCAAGUAGUCUAAUCACCCCCUAGACAUACUUUCGAUCCUACAAUUGGUAUCAGAGCAUUGGUCUCCAUUUGCCUUGAUUUCCAUAGCUUUUGGUGAUCAUAACCUUGGUUUCACAACCUAGGAGAGUAUGGCGUCUAGCGAGGGAAAUUACCACCGUAGAGAUCCUUACUUUGAUGCUACUAAUUUUGCUAGUUGGAAGCAUAAGAUGAAAAUGCAUAUUUUUGGACAUAACCCCACCGUUUGGGCUAUUGUGUGUAUUGGCUUGCAAGGUGAAUUCUUCGAUGGGAGAGAACCAAACCAUGAAGCAACAACGGAAGAGUUGAAGAUGCUGCAAUACAACGCCCAAGCUUGUGAUAUCCUCUUCAAUGGAUUAUGCCCCGAAGAAUGCAACAAAAUUAGCCGUCUUGAGAAUGCAAAGGAAAUUUGGGAUACUUUGAUUGAUAUGCACGAAGGUACCGACUCCGUCAAGGAAUCCAAAUUGGAUGUGCUUCAAAGUCAACUUGACAAGUUCAAAAUGAAGGAUGGUGAAGGUGUCGCUGAAAUGUACUCUAGGCUUGCUCUCAUCACAAAUGAGAUUGCCGGCUUAGGAAGUGAAGAGAUGACCGACAAAUUCAUCAUCAAGAAGAUCCUAAGAGCCUUGGAUGGAAAAUAUGAUACCGUGUGCACAUUGAUCCAAAUGAUGCCCAGUUACAAAGAUCUCAAUCCAUUGGAAGUCAUUGGAAGAAUUAUUGCUCAUGAGAUGUCACUCAAGGAUAAGGAAGAGCUUCACAACAAGUCAAGUGGUGCUUACAAAGCCUCAUGUGAUGCUCCUACUUCAUCAAGUGAGAAACAAACCAUCAAUGAGGAAUUGAGCCUAAUGGUGAAAAACUUCAACAAGUUCUACAAGAGUAGAAGCAAGGAAAGAAGUUCCAAGUCAAGGUCCUACAAUGACAAAAGAUCUUCGAGUCAUGAAUGUAAUUGCUACAACUUUGGAAGACCCGGACACUAUUCCAAUGAGUGUACGGCUCCUUACAAAAGGAGAGAAGAUUCACCCAAAAGAAGAAGUAGAAGAGAAGAAUUGCCACCAAGAGAGAGGAGGAGUAGAGAUGAUCACUAUGAACGAAGAACCUCCCUGAUAAGCAAGGAUUUGGAAAGGAAGGUCAAAUCAUCAAAGAGCUACACAAAGAGAAGACAUCAAGCUCAUGUUGGUGAAUGGGUAUCCGGCUCCGACUCCGACCAUCACUCCGAGAGAAGCUAUCACUCCGAUUCCGAAUAUACUCAAGAUGAAGGUGUUGCCGGUCUAGCACUCGUGUCAACCAACUCCUACGACAUAUUUGACUCACCAAAUGAAGGAAUUGGAAGAUGUUUCAUGUCUAAAGGCCCAAAGGUAUCACACACCGAGUAUGCUGAUUUCAAUAGUCAUGAAGAUGACUUGUUAAGUGAUGAUGGUUUACUUGUUGACAACUCUAGUGAUGAAUACUAUGAUAAAAUGUCAAUCAAUCAUGCUAAUCAAGAUAAAACGAAUGACAAUGAUAAGGAGAAGAUUGAGCGUCUAACUAAAGAACUAAAUACUCUUAAGUGAGGUCAUGAAACUACCUUGGAAGGUCAUCGAGAACUUUUAAAGACUCAUGAGAAGUUACGCUUUGAAAAGCAAAACCUUGAGCAAGAGCAUGAGUUUUUAAAGGCAAUCAAUGUUGGGGAACGUAGCAGAAAUUCAAAAUUUCCCUAUGUGUCACCAAGAUCUAUCUAUGGAGAAACCAGCAAUGAGGGGAAGGAGAGUGCAUCUACAUACCCUUGUAGAUUGCUAAGCGGAAGCGUUCAAGAGAACGGGGUUGAAGGAGUCGUACUCGUCGUGAUCCAAAUCACCGGAGAUCCUAGUGCCGAACGGACGGCACCUCCGCGUUCAACACACGUACAGCCCGGUGACGUCUCCCAUGCCUUGAUCCAGCAAGGAGAGAGGGAGAGGUUGAGGAAGACUCCAUCCAGCAGCAGCACAACGGCGUGGUGGUGAUGGAGGAGCGUGGCAAUCCUGCAGGGCUUCGCCAAGCACCGCGGGAGAGGAGAAAGGAGAGAGGUAGGGCUGCGCCAGGGAGAGGUCAAAACUCAUGUGUUGGCAGCCCUCAAGACCUCAACUAUAUAUAGGGGAGAGGGAGGGGGUGCGCCCCCUCUAGGGUUUCCACCCCAAGGGGUGCGGCUGCGCCCAAUCCCAUCUAGGGUGGCGGCCAAGGGGGGAGAGGGGAAACUUGCCCCCCAAGUUAGGUGGGUGCGCCCCCUCCCCCAACCCUAGGCGCCUUGGGCCCUUGUGGGGGGGGGGCGCACCAGCCCACCUGGGGAUAGUCCCCUCCCACACUUGGCCCAUGCAGCCCUCCGGGGCCGGUGGCCCCACUUGGUGGACCCCCGGGACCGUCCCGGUGGUCCCGGUACGUUACCGAUAAAACCCGAAACUUUUCCGGUGACCAAAACAGGACUUCCCAUAUAUAAAUCUUUACCUCUGGACCAUUCCGGAACUCCUCGUGACGUCCGGGAUCUCAUCCGGGACUCCGAACAACAUUCGGUAACCACAUACAAACUUCCUUUAUAACCCUAGCGUCAUCGAACCUUAAGUGUGUAGACCCUACGGGUUCGGGAAUCAUGUAGACAUGACCGAGACGUUCUCCGGUCAAUAACCAACAGCGAGAUCUGGAUACCCAUGUUGGAUCCCACAUGUUCCACGAUGAUCUCAUCGGAUGAACCACGAUGUCAAGAACUCAAUCGAUCCUGUAUACAAUUCCCUUUGUCUAACGGUAUUGUACUUGCCCGAGAUUCGAUCAUCGGUAUACCGAUACCUUGUUCAAUCUCGUUACCGGCAAGUCUCUUUACUCGUUCCGUAACACAUCAUCCCAUGAUCAACCCCUUGGUCACACUGUGCACAUUAUGAUGAUGUCCUACCGAGUGGGCCCAGAGAUACCUCUCCGUUAACCGGAGUGACAAAUCCCAGUCUCGAUUUGUGCCAACCCAACAGACACUUUCGGAGAUACCUGUAGUGCACCUUUAUAGCAACCCAGUUAUGUUGUGACGUUUGGUACACCCAAAGCAUUCCUACGGUAUCCGGGAGUUGCACAAUCUCAUGGUCUAAGGAAAUGAUACUUGACAUUUAGAAAAGCUUUAGCAUACGAACUACGAUCUUUGUGCUAGCCUUAGGAUUGGGUCUUGUCCAUCACAUCAUUCCCUAAUGAUGUUAUCCCGUUAUCAACGACAUCCAAUGUCCAUGGUCAGGAAACCGUAACCAUCUAUUGGUCAACGAGCUAGUCAACUAGAGGCUUACUAGGGACAUGGUGUUGUCUAUGUACCCACACAUGUAUCUGAGUUUCCUAUCAAUACAAUUAUAGCAUGGAUAAUAAACGAUUAUCAUGAACAAGGAAAUAUAAUAAUAACUAAUUUAUUAUUGCCUCUAGGGCAUAUUUCCAACAGUCUCCCACUUGCACUAGAGUCAAUAAUCUAGUUCACAUCGCCAUGUGAUUAGCACUGAUAGGUCACAUCGCCAUGUGACCAACAUCCAAAGAGUUUACUAGUGUCUAAACUAGUUCACAUCACCAUGUGAUUAAGAAUCAAUGAGUUUUGGGGUUUGAUCAUGUUUUGCUUGUGAGAGAGGUUUUAGUCAACGGGUCUGCAACAUUCAGAUCCGUAUGUAUUUCGCAAAUUCUCUAUGUCAUAUUGUAAAUGUUGCUUCCGCGCUCCACUUGGAGCUAUUCCAAAUGGUUGCUCCACUAUACGUAUCCGGUUUGCUACUCAGAGUCAUUCGGAUAGGUGUUAAAGCUUGCAUCGACGUAACCCUUUACGCUGAACUCUUUAUCACCUCCAUAAUCGAGAAACAUGUCCUUAUUUACUCCAAGGACAAUUUUCGACCGCUGUCCAAUGAUCCAUUCCUGGAUCAUUCUUGUACCCCUUGACUGACUCAUGGCAAGGCACACUUCCGGUGCAGUACACAGCAUAGCAUACUAUAGAGCCUACGCCUAAAGCAUAGGGGACAACCUUCGUCCUUUCUCUCUUUUCUGCCGUGGUCGAGCUUUAAGUAUUAACUUCAUACCUUACAUUUCAGGCAAGAACUCCUUCUUUGACUGAUCCAUCUUGAACACCUUCAAGAUCAUGUCAAGGUAUAUGCUCAUUUGAAAGUACCAUUAAGCGGUUUUGAUCUAGCCUCAUAGAUCUUGAUGCUCAAUGUUCAAGUAGCUUAAUCCAGGUUUUCACUUGAAAAACACUUUUCAAAUAACCCUAUAUGCUUUACAGAAAAUUCUACAUCAUUUCUGAUCAUCAAUAUGUCAACGACAUAUACUCAUCAGAAAUUCUAUAGUGCUCCCACUCACUUCUUUGGAAAUACAAGUUUCUCACAAACUUUGUAUAAACCCAAAAUCUUUGAUCAUUUCAUCAAAGCAUAUAUUCCAACCCUGAGAUGCUUACUCCAGUCCUUAGAAGGACCGCUGGAGCCAGCAUACCUUUUAGCAUCCUUAGGAUCGACAAAAACUUUCUGAUUGUAUCACAUACAACCUUUCCUUACAAAAAUUGGUAAGGAAACUCGUUUUUGACAUCCAUCUGCCAGAUUUCAUAAAUGCAGCUAAUGCUAACAUGAUUCCGACGGACUUAAGCUUCGCUACGGAUGAGAAAAUCUCAUCGUAGUCUACUUCCUUGAACUUGUGAAAACUCUUCGCCACAAGUCGAGCUUCAUAGACGGUGACAUCACCGUCCAAGUCCGUCUUCUUCUUAAAGAUCCAUUUAUCUCAAUGGCUUGCCGAUCAUUGGGCAAGUCCACCAAAGUCCAUGCUUUGUUCUGAUACAUGGAUCCUAUCUCGGAUUUCAUGGCUUCUAACCAUUUGCCGGAAUAUGGUCCCACCAUCGCUUCUCCAUAGCUCGUAGGUUCAUUGUUGUCCAGCAACAUGACCUUCAAGACAGGAUUACUGUACCACUCUGAAGUAGUACGCAUCCUUGUCACCCUACGAGGUACGGUAGUGACUUGAUCCAAAACUUCAUGAUCACUAUCAUAAGCUUCUACUUCAAUUGGUGUAGGUGCCACAGGAACAACUUCCUGUGCCCUGCUACACACUAGUUGAAGUGAUGGUUCAAUAACCUCAUCAAGUCUCCACCAUCCUCCCACUCAAUUUUCGAGACAAACUUUUCUCGAGAAAGGACCCGAUUUAAGAAACAAUCCCUAUUGCUUUCGGAUCUGAAUUAGGAGGUAUACCCAACUGUUUUGGGUGUCCUAUGAAGAUGCAUUUUAUCUGCUUUGGUUUCGAGCUUAUCAACCUGAAACUUUUUCACAUAAGUAUCGCAGCCCCAAACUUUUAAGAAACGACAACUUAGGUUUCUCUAAACCAUAGUUCAUACGGUGUCAUCUCAACGGAAUUACGUGGCGCCCUAUUUAAAGUGAAUGCAGUUGUCUCUAAUGCCUAACCCAUGAACGAUAGUGGUAAUUUGAUAAGAGACAUCAUGGUACGCACCAUAUCCAAUAGGGUGCAACUAUGAUGUUCGGACACACCAUCACACUAUGGUGUUCCAGGCGGUAUUAAUUGUGAAACAAUUUCCAUAGUGUCUUAAUUGCGUGCCAAAGCUUGUAACUCAGAUACUCAUCUCUAUGAUCAUAUCAUAGACACUUUAUCCUCUUGUCACAAUGAUCUUUAACUUCACUCUGAAAUUACUUGAACCAUUCAAUAAUUCAGACUUGUGUUUCAUCAAGUAAAUAUACUCAACAUCUACUCGAAUCAUCUGUGAAGUCAGAACAUAACGAUAUGCACUCCAUUUCUCAGCACUCAUUGGACUGCACACAUCAAAAUGUGUUACUUCCAACAGGUUGCUACCUUGUUCCAUCUUACUGAAACCAAGGCUUUUCAGUCACUUUGCCCAUGUGGUAUGAUUUGCAUAUCUCAAGUGAGUCCAAACGAUCCAUCUGCAUGGAGUUUCUUCAUGCGUAUACACCAAUAGACAUGGUUUGCAUGUCUCAAACUUUUCAAAAACGAGUGAGUCCAAAGAUCCAUCAACAUGGAGCUUCUUCAUGCGUAUUAUACCAAUAUGACUUACAUGGCAGUGCCACAAGUAAGUGGUACUAUCAUUACUAUCUUAUAUCUUUUGGCAUGAAAAUGUGUAUCACUACGAUCGAGAUUCAAUAAACCAUUCCUUUAGGUGCAAGACCAUCGAAGGUAUUAUUCAAAUAAACAGAGUAACCAUUAUUCUCCUUAAACGAAUAACCGUAUUGUGAUAGACAUAAUCCAAUCAUGUCCAUGCUCAACGCAAACACCAAAUAACAAUUAUUUAGGUUUAACACCAAUCUCGAUGGUAGAGGGAGCGUGCGAUAUUUGAUCACAUCAACCUUGGAAACACUUCCAACACAUAUCAUCAGCUCACCUUUAGCUAGUCUCCGUUUAUUCCGUAGCUUUUAUUUCGAGUUACUAACACUUAGCAACCGAACCGGUAUCUAAUACCCUGCUGCUACUAGGAGUACUAGUAAAGUACACAUUAACAUAAUGUAUAUCCAAUAUACUUCUAUCGACCUUGCCAGCCUUCUCAUCUACCAAGUAUCUAGGGUAAUUCUGCUCCAAUGGCUGUUCCGCUUAUUACAGAAGCACUUAGUCUCGGGUUUGGGUUCAACCUUGGGUUUCUUCACUAGAGCAGCAGCUGAUUUGCUGUUUCAUGAAGUAUCCCUUAUUACCCUUGCCCUUCUUGAAACUAGUGGUUUCACCAACCAUCAACAAUUGAUGCUCCUUCUUGAUUUCUACUUUCGCGGCGUCAAACAUCGUGAAUACCUCAAGGAUCAUCAUAUCUAUCCCUGAUAUGUUAUAGUUCAUCACGAAGCUCUACCAGCUUGGUGGCAAUGACUUUGGAGAAACAUCACUAUCUCAUCUGGAAGAUCAACUCCCACUCGAUUAAAGUGAUUGUUGUACUCAGACAAUCUGAGCACAAGCUCAACGAUUGAGCUUUUCUCCCUUAGUUUGCAGGCUAAGAAAAUCGUUGGAGGUCUUAUACCUCUUGACGUGGGCACGAGCCUAAAAUCCCAAUUUCAGCCCUCGAAACAUCUCAUAUGUUCCGUGACGUUUCGAAAACGUCUUUGGUGCCUCAACUCUAAACCUUUUAACUGAACUAUCACGUAGUUAUCAAAACGUGUAUGUCCGAUGUUCGUAACAUCCACAAAUGACGUUUGGGGUACUGCACACUGAGCGGUGCAUUAAGGACAUAAGCUUUCUACUGUUCGCAUAAUCGCUACUGGCAACUUUCAACUAUAUUUUCUCUAGGAACAUAUCUAAAUAGUGGAACUAAAACGCGAGCUUACGACAUAAUUUGCAAAGAUCUUUUGACUAUGUUCAGGAUAAUUAAGUUCAUCUCAUGAACUCCCACUCAGAUAGACAUCCCUCUAGUCAUCUAAGUGAUUACAUGAUCCGGGUCAACUAGGCCAUGUCCGAUCAUCACGUGAGACGGACUAGUCAUCAUCGGUGAACAUCUUCAUGUUGAUCGUAUCUACUAUACGACUCAUGGUCGACCUUUCGGUCUCUUGUGUUCCGAGGCCAUGUCUGUACAUGCUAGCCUCGUCAAGUCAACCUAAGUGUUUCGCGUGUGUAAAUCUGGCUUACACCCGUUGUAUGUGAAUGUAAGAAUCUAUCACACCCGAUCAUCACGUGGUGCUUCGAAACGACGAACUUUCGCAACGGUGCACAGUUAGGGGGAACACUUUCUUGAAAUUUUAAUGAGGGAUCAUCUUAUUUACUACCGUCGUUCUAAGCAAAUAAGAUGUAUAAACAUGAUAAACAUCACAUGCAAUCAAAUAGUGACAUGAUAUGGACAAUAUCAUUUUGCUCCUUUUGAUCUCCAUCUUCGGGCUCCAUGAUCAUCAUCGUCACCGGCAUGACACCAUGAUCUCUAUCAUCAUGAUCUCCAUCAUCGUGUCUUCAUGAAGUUGUCUCGCCAACUAUUACUUCUACUACUAUGGCUAUCGGUUAGCAAUAAAGUAAAUUAAUUACAUGGCGUUGUUUUAAUGACACGCAGGUCAUACAAUAAAUUAAGACAACUCCUAUGGUUCCUGCCGGUUGUCAUACUCAUCGACAUGCAAGUCGUGAUUCCUAUUACAAUAACAUGAUCAAUCUCAUACAUCACAUAUAUCAUUCAUCACAUUCUUUUGGCCAUAUCACAUCACAUAGCAUACCCAGCAAAAACAAGUUAGACGUCCUCUAAUUGUUGUUUGCAUGUUUUACGUGGCUGCUAUGGGUUUCUAGCAAGAACGUUUCUUACCUAUGCAAAAACCACAACGUGAUAUGUCAAUUGCUAUUUACCCUUCAUAAGGACCCUUUUCACCGAAUCUGUUCCGACUAAAGUGGGAGAGACUGGCACCCGCUAGCCACCUUAUGCACCAAGUGCAUGUCAGUCUGUGGAACCUGUCUCACAUAGGUGUACGUGUAUGGUCGGUCCGGGCCGCUUCAUCCCACAAUACCGUCGAAACAAGAUUGGACUAGUAACGGUAAGCAUAAUGAACAAAAUCAACGGCCACAACUACUUUGUGUUCUACUCGUGCAAAGAAUCUACACAAUAGACCUAGCUCAUGAUGCCACUGUUGGGGAACGUAGCAUAAAUUCAAAAUUUUCCUACGUGUCACCAAGAUCUAUCUAUGGAGAAACCAACAACGAGGGGAAGGAGAGUGCAUCUACAUACCGUUGUAGAUCGCUAAGCGGAAGCUUUCAAGAGAACGGGGUUCAAGGAGUCAUACUCGUCGUGAUCCAAAUCACCGGAGAUCCUAGUGCCGAACGGACGGCACCUCCGCGUUCAACACACGUACAGCCCGGUGACGUCUCGCAUGCCUUGAUCCAGCAAGGAGAGAGGGAGAGGUUGAGGAAGACUCCAUCCACCAGCAGCACAAUGGCGUGGUGGUGAUGGAGGAGCCUGGCAAUCCUGCAGGGCUUCGCCAAGCACCGCGGGAGAGGAGAAAGGAGAGAGGUAGGGCUGCGCCAGGGAGAGGUCAAAACUCAUGUGUUGGCAGCCCUCAAGACCUCAACUAUAUAUAGGGGAGAGGGAGGGGGUGCGCCCCCUCUAGGGUUUCCACCCCAAGGGGUGCGGCUGCCCCCAAUCACUAGUAGAAAACAGGGCUUUCGUCCAGGCCAGUUUAGCCCAUUAGUCCCGGUUCAAUCCAGAACCGGGACCAAUGGAGCUAUUUGCCCCGGUUCGUGAGCCCAGGGGGCUGGCCGGGCCACGUGGGCCAUUGGUCCCGGUUCGUCCGGACCUUUUGGUCCCGGUUGGUGGGACGAACCGGGACCAAUGGUCCUGGCUCCUGGCCCACCACUAUUGGUCCCGGUUGGUGGCAUGAACCGGGACCAAAAGGGUUACCUUUAGUCCCGGUUUAUGCCACCAACCGGGACUAAAGGGUUGGCCCUCGUUGCACCCAGCUUUUAGUCCCACCUCGCCAACAGAAGGGCGCCCACACCUGUUUAUAAGCCCGUCCCUCUCUCUGUUGUUGAUCUCCUCUCAAAGUGAAAAUAGAUGCACCUAUAGAGGAAAUUGGACCUAAAUUUAUAAAUAAAAAUUGAUUAUGAAUUUAUGUUUAAUUUUCUCUAUAAGUGCAUCUAUGUUCACUAACAGAGAAGUUUUUAUUUUUUGUGACCUAAAAGAAAAAAGAAAUCACCAAAAAACUGUAAGUAUUUAUUUCUAAGUAGAACUGAAAAAAUAAUGGCACUAGUAAAGUUAAUCACAAACUUCAAAUUCACACAAAUUUCAAAGAAUUCAAUUUAACUAUUCACACAAAUUUCAAAGAAUUAAAAAAUAAAGCAAAAAACCAAAAGAAAAUAAUUAAUGCAGAAAACAAAACCAAAAAACUGGAAAAAACUAAAAAUAGCAAUAAUAAGUAUUUUAUUGUAAGUAGAAACAAAAUAAAAUGAAUAAAGCAACAAAGAAAACAAAAAAAGAGUUUCCAAAUUUGAAAACUAAUGGCAGUAACAGAAAGUUUAUAAUUUUUCUAAAACUAAAAGCAAAAAGAAUUAAAAAAUAAAGCAAAAAACAAAAGAAAAUAAAUAAUGCAGAAAACAGAACAAAANNNNNNNNNNNNNNNNNNNNNNNNNNNNNNNNNNNNNNNNNNNNNNNNNNNNNNNNNNNNNNNNNNNNNNNNNNNNNNNNNNNNNNNNNNNNNNNNNNNNNNNNNNNNNNNNNNNNNNNNNNNNNNNNNNNNNNNNNNNNNNNNNNNNNNNNNNNNNNNNNNNNNNNNNNNNNNNNNNNNNNNNNNNNNNNNNNNNNNNNNNNNNNNNNNNNNNNNNNNNNNNNNNNNNNNNNNNNNNNNNNNNNNNNNNNNNNNNNNNNNNNNNNNNNNNNNNNNNNNNNNNNNNNNNNNNNNNNNNNNNNNNNNNNNNNNNNNNNNNNNAAUUAAAAAAUAAAGAAAAAAACAACAAAAACUAAAUAAUGCAGAAAACAGAACAAAAAACUGAAAAAAAAUAAAAAUAGCAACAAUAAGUAUUUUGUUGUAAGUAGAAACAAAAUAAAAGAAAUAAAGCAACAAAGAAAACAAAAAAAGAGUUUUCAGAUUUGAAAACUAAUGGCACUAACAGAAAAAUAAACCAAAACCAAAAUAAACUAAAUAAAGCAACAAAUAAAACAAAAAAAC
rnacentral:lncRNA from 1 species